CACACGCACACCCGCACCCCAUCAGCACCGUCCUCUCCCGGGCGCCGGCGGGGUGCGGUGGGGUGGGGUGGGGUAGGUAGCUGGCUAAGGAAGGAGACCCCGGGGACGCCGGUGCAUCCUCGCCCGCACUCCCGCCACAUGCGCAGACGGCCCCUCCCCCCAACCCAAACACCGACUCGCCACCGGCCGCUCGCUCGCGUUACAUAACCUCGCCGCCGCCCCCCGCCCCUCGCCCCGGCCCGCCGCCCCCUCCCCGGGCCGCGCGGCCGACCGAGUCGGGGCGAAGGGACCCGGCUCGAGCUAAACAAGAGCCCUAAAGGCGCCGGGCCGGGCAACCCAGACGCGCAGCUCACGCCCUCCAAACAUCACAUGUCCUUCACGUGUCUUGCCUCAACACAUGUCUUGCCUCAGCACACGCAUCUGUCUCAGCUGACAUCACUCUGCCAAUCAGCCCGAGUCCUCAGAAGCAUCAAGAAAC
rnacentral:lncRNA from 1 species